GUAGGACUACCCGCUGAACUUAAGCAUAUCAAUAAGCGGAGGAAAAGAAACUAACAAGGAUUCCCCUAGUAACUGCGAGUGAAGCGGGAAGAGCUCAAAUUUAGAAUCUGGCAGCCUACGGUUGUCCGAGUUGUAGCCUAGAGAAGCGUUUUCUGCGUUGGGCCAUGUACAAGUCCCUUGGAACAGGGCGUCAUAGAGGGUGAGAAUCCCGUACUUGACAUGGACUCCCAGGGCUAUGUGAUGCGCUCUCGAAGAGUCGGGUUGUUUGGGAAUGCAGCUCUAAAUGGGUGGUAAAUUCCAUCUAAAGCUAAAUAUUGGCGAGAGACCGAUAGCGAACAAGUACCGUGAGGGAAAGAUGAAAAGCACUUUGGAAAGAGAGUUAAACAGUACGUGAAAUUGUUGAAAGGGAAACGCUUGAAGUCAGUCGCGUCGGCCGGGACUCAGCCUUGAACGGUGCACUUCCCGGUGGACGGGCCAGCAUCAGUUUUGAUCGUCGGAAAAGGGUUUGAGGAAUGUGGCAUCUUCGGGUGUGUUAUAGCCUCUUGCCGCACGCGACGGUUGGGACUGAGGAUCGCAGCUUCGGCUUAGGAUGCUGGCGUAAUGGCUUUAAACGACCCGUCUUGAAACACGGACC
rnacentral:rRNA from 1 species